rnacentral:rRNA from 1 species
GACGAACGCUGGCGGCGUGCUUAACACAUGCAAGUCGAACGAUGAAGAAAAGAAUCGAAGCUUCGGCAGAAAUUCAUUUCGGAUUAGUGGCAGACGGGUGAGUAACGCGUGAGCAACCUACCUCUUACAAAGGGAUAGCCUCGGGAAACCGGGAUUAAUACCAUAUAACAUUGUGACGAAGCAUUUCGAUGCAAUCAAAGCUACGGCGGUAAGAGAUGGGCUCGCGUCCCAUUAACCGGAUGGUGAGGUAACGGCUCACCAUAGUGACGAUGGGUAACCGGGCUGAGAGGGUGAACGGUCACACUGGAACUGAGACACGGUCCAGAAUCCUACGGGAGGCAGCAGUGGGGAAUAUUGCACAAUGGAGGGAACUCUGAUGCAGCGACGCCGCGUGAGUGAUGAAGGAAUUCGUUUCGUAAAACUCUGUUCUAUGGGAAGAAAAGGACUGUACCAUAGGAGAAAGCUCCGGCUAAAUACGUG